CUACCCAUCUGUUAAGAAGGAAAAGUUAAUUUAAAAUGUGGUUGCUAUAACCUCUUCCCCCAGCCCCUUUGACUGUGUGUUCUUACUUCCACCAAGCUCUGCAAGGGAGUGCUGGAGACAGGAUUAAAGCAGAAGGACUGUCACCCCUUGAGCCAGCAGAGGAUGAAAAACCCUGUCCCAUAAAGCUCCAGUGAAGAUAAAUAGCCUAAAGCUACAAAAAGGGCAUGAGUUGGACAAGGUUUAGGGGUGAUUGACCUGGGGGUGUAGGACUUCCACAAUGCGGCAAGCUGCCCCAUAGCUCUGAUUGCAAGGUGAACUGCAAGGGAUUUUUUUGAACACUGGAGGGUGGGGUUUUUUAAGUGUAUGAUUUAUAAGUUAACCCCAUUGAUAUUGCUCCGACCACCUUUGCAAGGGUUACUCUGCCACCAUGCAGAAGGGGAGCAGAAGCUCUAUAUGCCACUGAUGCCCUCAGAAUAGGGGCAUAAGCUUUGCAUGCUCUCUGCAGAGAUGGAAAUUCACCCAGGCUAUUAAAUUCCAUUCCUGUACAGUGACGCUCUGACAGCAUUUCUUACAGCUGUGUGAAAGCGGUGUCAUCUGUGAAGAGUCCUCAUUUAAUUCCAGGCCAUUUUGCAGCCCAGAAAUUGUCAUUUGUGUGAAGUGUUUGUGCCCUGUGGCCAUUCUCCUGGUGAAAAUGUUUGGGAUGUUGAAAGUAUGUACCUCUUUUCCAUGCAAGUUGAUUUCCUCUACCACCACCCCUACAAAAUAUGACACAACGAUGGACUAUAUGCACUCUGUAAGGGGGAAGAAACAAUUGAUCACCUUUGAUGGGCAUGUAAGGACUUUGAUAAAGAGAAGGAAAAGCUUGCUCAGGAAUUGGAAUGUCUUAAGUAUGGAUUCACUUUUACACGGUGCAGUGCAGUCACCAAGAUGUACAGAUUAGUGGCAUAGUCAGGAUGGGACACUUUGGGCCCUGACUUCAGAUGGGUUGGACUGGUGGGGAAGGGGAGGCAGAAGGGAUCGGGGCUGCCUCCUCUCACCCGCUCCAGUCGGCCUUCCAGGGGACAAUGGACACUUGGCCCGGGGCCCCCGCGGCCCCAGGCACACACCUGGGGAUCGGGGUCGGGGUGCUGGGGCUCACCUGCCUCCGACCACCCUGCACUCUAGCUGGGGAGUGAGAUCAGGGGCUCCACUCCGCCCACUCACCUGGUGCUCCAGCUGGGGAGUGA